AUUGAACGCUGGCGGCAGGCCUAACACAUGCAAGUCGAGCGGAGCGGCGGACGGGUGAGUAAUGCCUAGGAAUCUGCCUGUAAGUGGGGGAUAACGUCCGUAACCGGCCGCUAAUACCGCAUCCUAUCAGAUGAGCCUAGGUCGGAUGAGCUGGUUGGUGGGGUAAAGGCCUACCAAGUGGACGAUCCGUAACUGGUCUGAGAGGAUGAUCAGUCACACUGGAACUGAGACACGGUCCAGACUCCUACGGGAGGCAGCAGUGGGGAAUAUUGGACAAUGGGCGAAAGCCUGAUCCAGCCAUGCCGCGUGUGUGAAGAAGGUCUUCGGAUUGUAAAGCACUUUAAGUUGGGAGGCGUUACCAACAGAAUAAGCACCGGCUAACUUCGUGCCAGCAGCCGCGGUAAUUC
rnacentral:rRNA from 1 species